CGAGGCAGAUCUUAGCUAAGUAAGUUGUGAUAAACUGUGGGUAAUUUGCAUGUUCACUGAAAUAUUAAUCAGCUGAUAUUAAACUUGAAAUGUUUUCACAGAGCAGUCUGUGUACCAAGAGAACUACUUCUGCAAAAGUUUAUUUAAUUUUUUUGUGACGUAUUCUCAUGUGUAAGACACUUGCUUGGCCACCCAGCUAAUGUUAGUACUGCUCUAUUUUAGCAAUGUAUCUUUUCUCUAAUUAAUUCAUUUUUUUAACCCUAUUCUCGUAAUUAACUUAAUAUUAACGACUUUAAUCUCGUAAUUGAUUUUUUUUUUCUAAAUAUGGUGUAAUACUGCCUCGUAAUAUAAGUUAUUUCUUUGGUCACAAAUUAUUUUUGUAACGAUUUCACCAAAACAGACCUGAAAUAAUCCCUACAUGUUCCAUUUUCAUUUGCAGAAAUUACAAAGCCAAAAACCAAACCAUGCCCUUCCUGUCAGGCUCCAAACACCUGCAACAGGAAGACAUGCAGUGGAUGCCUGGGCAGCCUGAACGUAAAGGAGGGAUUGAAAAAAAAAAAAACAAGAACAGCAACUGGGCUGCAUCUGUUAAAAAAAAAAACAGAAAUGCGAGCAGGGUGGUUAAUUCAGCCCAGUUAUCAGUAAGGUUUCAAAACUACACGCCCUGGGCUACCAGCUAAUUCUGUUUCUUGGACAGUUUGACCGAAAGGGCCGUAUAGUAGGGGACGUGAUCACAUAGAGCCAGCGGAUGGUGCUGCACGUGACAUCCUCAUGAAGAUGAGGAAACUUUAUGAACACCUUCUGAGAAAAUUACAAGCUUCACCUCCUGCUAAAAGUUCUACACCAGCAGCUGGACCAUCCUCUGCUGACAGUGUCGAUGCUGGACCAGUCCCAGACCCAGAGGCUCUAAACGAGGAAUUUAUUCUUCAUUUAGAGCCUGAACCAACAUCUUCCCUCUGUCAGCCUCCUGUAUCCUCCUCUUCAUCUCUGCUUCCUCCUGCAUCCUCCUCUUCAUCUCUGCUUCCUCCUGCAUCCUCCUCUCCAUCUCUGCUUU